CCAAUGUUUAACAACAUACAUGAGAUAUGGGAGGUAAACAAAUCGUAAGCAAAUCGUGCCAAUGCUUAUGGAUUUUUCCGAAACAGAAGAAAACAGAGCAAGAAAGAUACCUUAUCGGACUCUCCAAACUAACCCGGAUCGGUGAGCUGAAGUGUUUCUCUUUACCUCCAAAACUUUGAGAUUGAAAUACAUACAAACUGCGUCAGCAUCUUGCUGUGUCAACUAUCAAAGUUUUGGUUAGCAUAAAAGAAACUAAUCUUAGCUACUGACACACUGGUCAUCGGUCGACGAGGUUAUGAGGUGCUAAAGAGUCCACUGGAAUUCAAGUUAGCUCAAGAUAAAUGUAUCAGAAGCUUGAUGGCCAAACAUCCGCGUUUCAUUGAGUUCAAAAGUUGUAAAGCAGCAGUUAACUGUGGGGUGAUGCACUGAUCCACUCUUGCAUUUGAACUUUGGAUGUCUAGUUGUGCACAUCCUCCAAUCCUAAUUAAUUUCUAUUUUUCUAAACUGACGGGAGUUUUAUGUGGCUACUGUUUGAUCCAAAAUUCAGACCUGAAUUAGUUGUCAUGAUUUUGUUGUUCAGUUAAUAUGAAAACAAAAUGCAAAGUGUGCAGAUUGAAAGAGUGAAUUGUUAAGUGAAAAGAAUUUUGCUUUUAGCAGCCUGUGGAGAAGAACAGAGACUAUUGAAAUUGACAAUUGCUCUCUGCUUUUUCUGAAUGAAACUGACAAUUGCUCUCUGUUCUGCUCUUUUUUGCAGAUACUUGCGCUUGUCCAUGUAUCAUCUUACGUUCAUUCAAAAAUUGACGAGCCCUUAAAAAAGAGACUACUGACGAGCACUGUGUGGGCGUUGCUUGGGUAGUAAAUUUUUGGAGCUGCAGUUUCUCAACAGUAAUUGAUCGAAGUUGUCGAACGUAAACGAUAGAAAUUAUUUCUUCAGAUUCCUCAAUAAAGAUUUGUUCUGAACUUUCAGGCCCCUUCCUUUUGAACCAGAAUUCAGACAUAGGUUCAUGGUUGUUCUUCUUCUCUGCUAAACUAGAAUUCA
rnacentral:lncRNA from 1 species